UAUCAAGUCUCUUGUGAAAUCUAAUGGCUUAACCAUUAAACUGCUUGGGAAACUGAUAGUCUAGAGUGAGGGAGAGGCAGAUGGAAUUGGUGGUGUAGGGGUAAAAUCCGUAGAUAUCACCAAGAAUACCCAUUGCGAAGGCGAUCUGCUGGAACUCAACUGACGCUAAGGCGCGAAAGCGUGGGGAGCAAACAGGAUUAGAUACCCUGGUAGUCCACGCCCUAAACGAUGUACACUAGUUGUUGGGGUGCUAGUCAUCUCAGUAAUGCAGCUAACGCAUUAAGUGUACCGCCUGGGGAGUACGGUCGCAAGAUUAAAACUCAAAGGAAUAGACGGGGACCCGCACAAGCGGUGGAGCAUGUGGUUUAAUUCGAAGAUACGCGAAGAACCUUACCUGGGCUUGAUAUCCUAAGAACCUUUUAGAGAUAAGAGGGUGCUAGCUUGCUAGAACUUAGAGACAGGUGCUGCACGGCUGUCGUCAGCUCGUGUCGUGAGAUGUUGGGUUAAGUCCCGCAACGAGCGCAACCCACGUAUUUAGUUGCUAACGGUUCGGCCGAGCACUCUAAAUAGACUGCCUUCGUAAGGAGGAGGAAGGUGUGGACGACGUCAAGUCAUCAUGGCCCUUAUGCCCAGGGCGACACACGUGCUACAAUGGCAUAUACAAUGAGACGCAAUACCGCGAGGUGGAGCAAAUCUAUAAAAUAUGUCCCAGUUCGGAUUGUUCUCUGCAACUCGAGAGCAUGAAGCCGGAAUCGCUAGUAAUCGUAGAUCAGCCAUGCUACGGUGAAUACGUUCCCGGGUCUUGUACUCACCGCCCGUCACACCAUGGGAGUUGAUUUCACUCGAAGCCGGAAUACUAAACUAGUUACCGUCCACAGUGGAAUCAGCGACUGGGGUGAAGUCGUAACAAGGUAACCGUAGGAGAACCUGCGGUUGGAUCACCUCCUUU
rnacentral:rRNA from 2 species